rnacentral:rRNA from 1 species
UACGUAGGGGGCAAGCGUUGUCCGGAUUUAUUGGGCGUAAAGAGCGUGUAGGCGGCCAUACAGGUCAGCUGUGAAAACUCGAGGCUCAACCUCGAGACGUCGGUUGAAACCGUAUGGCUAGAGUCCGGAAGAGGAGAGUGGAAUUCCCGGUGUAGCGGUGAAAUGCGCAGAUAUCGGGAAGAACACCUAUGGCGAAGGCAGCUCUCUGGGACGGUACUGACGCUGAAGACGCGAAAGCGUGGGGAGCGAACAGG